rnacentral:rRNA from 1 species
AGUGAACGCUGGCGGUAGGCCUAACACAUGCAAGUCGAACGGCAGCACAGUAAGAGCUUGCUCUUACGGGUGGCGAGUGGCGGACGGGCGCGGAAUAAAUCGGAAUCUACUUUUUCGUGGGGGUUAACGUAGGGAAACUUACGCUAAUACCGCAUACGACCUACGGGUGAAAGCAGGGGAUCUUUGGACCUUGCGCGAUUGAAUGAGCCGAUGUCGGCUUAGUUAGUUGGCGGGGUAAAGGCCCACCAUGGCGAGGAACCGUAGCUGGUCUGAGAGGAUGAUCAGCGACACUGGAACUGAGACACGGACCAGACUCCUACGGGAGGCAGCAGUGGGGAAUAUUAGACAAUGGGCGCAAGCCUGAUCCAGCCAGACCGCGUGGGUGAAGAAGGCCUUCGGGUCGUAAAGCCCUUUUGUUGGGAAAGAAAAGCAGCAGGUUAAUACCCCGCUGUUCUGACGGUACCCAAAGAAGAAGCACCGGCUAACUUCGUG